rnacentral:rRNA from 1 species
ACGCCCGCUCAGAACUCAAAGGAAUUGACGGGGGCCCGCACAAGCGGUGGAGUAUGUGGUUUAAUUCGAUGCAACGCGAAGAACCUUACCUGGUCUUGACAUCCCGGAGACCCUUAGGAAACUAGGGGGUGCUUCCAUCUGGAAGAAUCUGGAGACAGGUGCUGCAUGGCUGUCGUCAGCUCGUGUCGUGAGAUGUUGGGUUAAGUCCCGCAACGAGCGCAACCCUUGCCUUUAGUUGCCAGCAGUUCGGCUGGGCACUCUAAAGGGACUGCCGGUGUUAAACCGGAGGAAGGUGGGGAUGACGUCAAGUCCUCAUGGCCUUUAUGACCAGGGCUACACACGUACUACAAUGGCCGAUACAAAGGGCAGCGACACUGCGAGGUGAAGCCAAUCCCGUAAAAUCGGUCUCAGUCCGGAUUGGAGUCUGCAACUCGACUCCAUGAAGUUGGAAUCGCUAGUAAUCGUGGAUCAGCAUGCCACGGUGAAUACGUUCCCGGGCCUU